rnacentral:pre_miRNA from 1 species
AUAUGAAAUCUAUUUUUCUCUAGAAUAAAACAGAUAACCAAUCAUGUUGCAGUUGAAUCUGAUUGGUCACUUGCUUUAUUCACUCAUAAAUCUAAAUUAAAUAGC